rnacentral:rRNA from 1 species
GCCCAAUAGCUAGCUCACCCUCACAAAACCAAUAUGACCCUAUCUAUAACCCCCAAUACACUUUAACCUAUAAACAAACCAUUUUUCCUCCUUAGUACGGGCGACGGAAAAGGAACCUGAAGCAAUAGAGAAAGUACCGCAAGGGAAAGCUGAAAGAGAAAUGAAACAACCCAGUAAAGCACCAAAAAGCAGAGACACAACCUCGUACUUU